rnacentral:rRNA from 1 species
GACAGAGGUGGCGAGCGUUGUUCGGAAUUACUGGGCUUAAAGGGCGAGUAGGCGGCGGGACAAGUCUGGUGUGGAAUCUUAGGGCUUAACCCUAAAACUGCAUCAGAAACUGUUUUGCUUGAGUCAGUGAGGGGAGGGCGGAAUUCCUGGUGUAGCGGUGAAAUGCGUAGAUAUCAGGAGGAAGGCCGGUGGCGAAGGCGGCCCUCUGGCACUGUACUGACGCUGAGGCGCGAAAGCGUGGGGAG